GUGGGUGGCAGGUGGGAGGGCUAUUGGCUGUCCAGAUGAGCUUGUGGCCACGUGGUUAAGUCUGCCUGAAUCCAGGGUUCAGGACUGGAAGCCUGUUCUUGCUGCUCUUAAACCACAUUCACCAUCUAGUCUUUAUCAGCAAGAGGGAUGAUAUUGAUACAUUGGACUCCAUCUGCCUGACUGUUCUGUAUAUUCCAACUGGUUCAAAACUGCAUCAGGGAAAAGGAGUAUAUCUACAGGCUCCCUAAAACCUCAGUAGGUUUGCAGACACAGUUGAUAUCACCCGUGUGUUAUCAUCUUGUCUUUGCCACAGCAGACAGAUGGCAGUGUCUACAGGGCAGCCUCUGGCCCUUACAGGCUGUCACCCAGUAAUCAAUUGGAUGUCCAGGAGAAAAGCCAUCUGCAGUAAAAUCUUCAAUGUUGACUGAUUUCCGUGGUGCAGACAUCCACACCAUUGCUGCUUUCAAGCGGCACUCAAGGCAUCAUUGAACAGAGUUGGGAGGAGACGGACACAAUCUGCUCUCCACACCAGCAAGGCGCCAACUCAGCCGACUCUCUGCACCUCUCUGGAGCCAGGGCAACAUCCCUCCAGAGAGGCAGAUGGCUGAGUGCACGGCUAGAUGCACCCCUCUCAGCUGGACUUCCUGUUUGGGGAUUGUUUGCUACCCUGAGAACUGGCUCAAAGGCCAAACCUUUGUGCCAUAUUCAGUGCAAGGUGAUGUCACCACGGCUUAUGGACAGAGGGGAAGAAACCCUGACGGAUGGGCCAGAAUGGCUCUGCCCAAGCUUGUGACAUUGGGGAAACCUCCUAGACUUCAUGGACACAGUCCAGAUGCACGAGCUGGGAGGGGAGUUUGGAAAGGAAGGCUCUGCGGGAGGAAACAGAUGGCACCAACAACCUUCUCAGAGGAGCCGUUGCAUCAUCUUCUCCUUUGAUUCUGCAGAUGUAAUUAUACCAGCUCCCAAGGAUGAGGGAAUUUGCCACAGAUCAGCAAGCUUUUCCAAAGAAUAAAACAUCUACACAUAUAUAUGU
ensembl:lncRNA